rnacentral:rRNA from 1 species
GAUGAACGCUGGCGGCGUGCCUAACACAUGCAAGUCGAGCGAUCUCUUCGGAGAGAGCGGCGGACGGGUGAGUAACGCGUGGGUAACCUGCCCUGUACACACGGAUAACAUACCGAAAGGUAUGCUAAUACGGGAUAAAAUAUGAAAGUCACAUGAUUUUUGUAUCAAAGAUUUAUCGGUACAGGAUGGACCCGCGUCUGAUUAGCUAGUUGGUAAGGUAAUGGCUUACCAAGGCGACGAUCAGUAGCCGACCUGAGAGGGUGAUCGGCCACACUGGAACUGAGACACGGUCCAGACUCCUACGGGAGGCAGCAGUGGGGAAUAUUGCACAAUGGGCGAAAGCCUGAUGCAGCAACGCCGCGUGAGCGAUGAAGGCCUUCGGGUCGUAAAGCUCUGUCCUCAAGGAAGAUAAUGACGGUACUUGAGGAGGAAGCCCCGGCUAACUACGUGCCAGCAGCCGCGGUAACAC